rnacentral:lncRNA from 1 species
GUUCCAUUAGUGGUAUUUGUUGCUGAACCAUUCACAAUGAUGUAAUCCACUUUGUUUUCCAAUUUCACAAGACGUUGUAAGAUGUCAUCCAGAAGAACAGCAAUUGUUCUCUUAAGAUCAGCAUAUCCUGCUACAGAGGCUCCACUGCCACCAUUCAUUAAAUUCUUAUUUUCUUCUGCCAGUGCUUUGACAUAUCUUUUACUUAGGUCUAAUAUCUG